AAUUAUAUUAAAAUUUUAAACUAACAUCUUAUUAUAAAAAUAUUUCAUUUAAAAGGAUGAAAAUUUGUAAAUUAUGUAAUAUUUUUAACACAAAACAAAACUGUUAACAUAUGUUAGAAAUCACAGUAAUUUAUUAUCUAAAAAUGAUUAUAUAAAAAAUAUAGAAGUACAUAGCUAACCAUUAGUUAAAGUGUUAUAAAAUAUGGGAUUUGAAAACUUUGAAAUUUUAAUAUUUCAUUAAAAAUACUAAUGAGAAAUGAUUUUUAACUAUAAAUUUAAUGUUUAUUUUAAUAGUAAAAAAUAGGUUGAGACAUAUAAAAGAAAAUAAAAUCAAAAUUCACAAAAUUUUCAAGCUCAAAAUAAUUAUGUAAUUUUAUAAAAUUUCUCUUGACCGAAUAUACAAUUUUGAAAAUAAAUAUUUCUAACACACAUGAUAAUAUAAAAAAAUUACAAAAUAUAAGAUCAUAGAUGCUAAAGUAUAAAUUUUUUGAAAUGCAACAUGAGUAAACAAUAAUGUUGUGAAAAUCAAAGUGGUAUUAAUAUUUAUAAAAUUAAGUUAAUAACAAAAAAUCAAAAAACUUAAUAUUAUAACAUCCAAAAUAUCAUAUAUCAAUAAAAUAUACUAAAAUAAUAUGAUUUAUGCUCUAUGAGUAGAAUUUACUAAAAUAAUACGGUUAACUUGCUUAAAUUGGACAAUGUGUUUAUUGAUAAAAUCCCGCAAUAUACUAAACUGAUAGAUGCUAAAGUAUAUUUUUAAAGACAACAUGGAAAUUUAAGUUAUCCUAAACAAAUAUCCUCUCUAUAGUAUAAAUAAAUAAAAUUUUAAAAUGUAUCGUAUACAAACAGUAAUAUUAUAUAUAUAUAUAUAUUUUGAAGGAGAUUCUGUAUUCUAUUAUUUCAUAUUAUGAAUUCUUAUACUCAACUAAAAAAUAUAUUAGAAUGUAAUAAAAAUUAAUAACAAAAUAAAAUAUAAAAAAUAAAUUAUUAUGUAUUAAAAAUGUCAAAUAAAAAACUUAACCAAUAAGAUUAUAGAGUUAUAUAAUAUAUAACACUAAAUUGUAAAUCAUAUAUUUAAAACAUUUGCAAUAAUAUCAAAGUUAACAUUUAUAAAAUCAAAAGUUAUCCGCAUGGACGUGCGGAUCAAAGUUUAUAUCUGCUUUGGAUUGAAUUUUUCGUAAAGUUAAGAAACUCACAAUUAAAUACUAAUAUUAAUAUAUACAUACACAUAUAUAUAUAUAUAUAAUAUUUUUGAUAACUUUGGUGUGAUCGCAAAGAUUUUUUAGGCCCAAGAACUAAUCACCAAGAGAUCCACAAAAAUCCAGAUUUUCUUGCCACUUAAGGCGUCCAUGGGUGGCUAAGGGGAAUCGAACUCAGGACGGAAGUUCCAACUGGAACCCUGUUACCACUAGGCCAAGACCACUUGGAUAUACACAUAUAUUAGAGAAUUUCAAUGUUAGAAUCCCCAUUCGAGAUGCUCUAACAUCCUACUAAUAUCCGAAGAAACUCAAGCCUAGGAAUAAAAUAAAAUCUUCAAAAUAGAUGAAAAUUUUAUAAUAUCUACAAAUACUCUCAUAUUGUAAGGGAUAUACGCCCGUCUACUACUAUAAAUACAACUAGGUUUUUAUCUAUGCUUCGAAAGCGUGACUUUUUUGGAUUAUAAAUAAAAUUUGAUAUAAAUUAAUAUUUUGAAAUCUAUACUAUUUAAAAAGAAACAUUAUGAAAUCCAUUAGUUCACAAACUUGUCUUUGUAACACAAAACUAUAUAUAUAUAUUUUUUCGAAGUAAUAAGAUAAAAAAAAUCCGCACAUGAUGCUUAUUAAAGUCUAGUAGUCAUUAGUAAAAGUCUAGUAAAAGGUUAAAAGUAACGUCAACUUGUCCGUCAACUGGUCCAUUACAUUAAAUUUCUGUAGCGUAGGGCUCGGGAUUCCACUUACCAUGUUUUCGGGGGUACAUCAUAAGCCAAAUCAAGAAUGUAACGAUAAUAAUAAAAAGAAAGGUAAAAAUAAUCUAUAUUAUUAAAACUCAA